GUGCCGGAGCAACUUCGGAAGUUGCUUUGCUGAAGAAAUGCCGGUGAACAUCGUUGCUGGUCGGUCUGAUCGGCCAAAAUGAUUGAUGCAAAACCGAUCAAAUUUAUUUAAUUUUCCUACGGGUAGUUCAGUUGAGGCAGUCGGUCGGAACACCUGCAUCAAUGAGCAAAAACAACAUAACGAUGACUUUUUUCAUUGUGGUGUUCCCGGCUGCUAAUGCCCAAAAUCUUUAGGAACCAUGAGCAUCAUCAAAAUUGGUUUUCACGAUAGUCAACGUAAAUGAACCAGGAGAAAUGAAAAAUGGACUCGUGUUUUGGCUCUGCUGGCUGGAAUACGCAUCCGGGAGAAGGCAAAUUAAUUCGAUUCCGCUACGGCAGUAAAUUCGUUCUUCCGAGGAUACUGCAUUGUCGAUAAUCACCGCAACCUAGCCGGAUUUAUCCAACAGGAGCCGUUUCUUAAGACUUUUAGGUUGACAUGAUUUCUUUGCGCUUCCUCCACCGGUUACGUUAUUCAGUACAUUGCUUCGCGAGCGUAAAAGAUUCGCCGUUUGUCUGUAUAGGAAAUAAACUCUGGCAGACAGCCUCCGGAAAUAUUUCCAAGAUUUUUCACAACUUAGACUCGCAAAAGCCCCGAUCAAGCAGUGUCAAUGGAUGAUUGGCAUCAGUUCCUCACGACGGGUGGUUUAGUUUUGCUGAACGUUCCUAACUGACGAGUAGAAAUGAUUGCUCCGAAGGAUUCGUCUGUGGUGGUCAAUGUUUACUAAUGAACUCGGCACUCAUCCUUCAUCGCAGGGCUAAGCUUGAUCCUGAUGUAAAUGAACCAUACUAGCCGUAUCUAGACUGAGUAAACUUUGAAUUUAUAAGGU